rnacentral:rRNA from 1 species
UACGAAGGGUGCAAGCGUUAAUCGGAAUUACUGGGCGUAAAGGGUGCGUAGGCGGUUUGUUAAGUCUGUUGUGAAAUCCCCGGGCUCAACCUGGGAAUGGCAAUGGAUACUGGCAAGCUAGAGUGUGUCAGAGGAUGGUGGAAUUUCCGGUGUAGCGGUGAAAUGCGUAGAGAUCGGGAGGAACAUCUGUGGCGAAGGCGACUACCUGGACCAGCACUGACACUGAGGCACGAAAGCGUGGGGAGCAAACAGG